UACGAGAGGCCCAAACGUUAUUCGGAUUUACUGGGCUUAAAGAGUUCGUAGGCGGCGCAGAAAGUGGGGUGUGAAAGCCCUCGGCUCAACCGAGGAAUUGCGCUCCAAACUACUGUGCUAGAGGAAGCUAGAGGUGAGCAGAACAGAUGGUGGAGCGGUGAAAUGCGUUGAUAUCGGAAGGAACGCCGGUGGCGAAAGCGACACACUGGGUCUUAACUGACGCUGAGGCACGAAAGCCAGGGGAGCGAACGGG
rnacentral:rRNA from 1 species